rnacentral:piRNA from 1 species
UGGUGCUGGAUGCCAGCGUGGUGAUGCCA